rnacentral:RNase_P_RNA from 1 species
GGAGUGGAUCGGGUGGUCGCUCAUCUCUCCAAGGAAAGGGAUGAGAGGAAAGUCCGGACUCCAGAGGGCAGGGUGCUGGGUAACGCCCAGGCGGAGUGAUCCGACAUCAGCGCCACAGAAAACACACCGCCGAAGGGUAGAGUCCAUUCUAUGGUCCCCCCAUAGAAUUGGAUUCUGCGCUGGUAAGGGUGAAAAGGCGGGGUAAGAGCCCACCGCAUCCAUGGUGACAUGGGUGGCAUGGUAAGCAUCACCCGGAGCAAAACCAAAUAGGAGAACGCACCGAAUCGCCUGGUCCCUAGGAGGAAGUUUCGGCAAACCUCACAUGGGGGAUGGCGUCAAUUCGGGAGAGGCUGGCCCGGCCAAUGUUCUCGGGUAGGUUGCUAGAAGCUCGGGGCGACCCGAGUUCCAGAGAGAUGA